rnacentral:rRNA from 1 species
GACGAACGCUGGCGGCGUGCUUAACACAUGCAAGUCGAACGGAAAGGCCCUGCUUUUGUGGGGUGCUCGAGUGGCGAACGGGUGAGUAACACGUGAGUAACCUGCCCUUGACUUUGGGAUAACUUCAGGAAACUGGGGCUAAUACCGGAUAGGAGCUCCUGCUGCAUGGUGGGGGUUGGAAAGUUUCGGCGGUUGGGGAUGGACUCGCGGCUUAUCAGCUUGUUGGUGGGGUAGUGGCUUACCAAGGCUUUGACGGGUAGCCGGCCUGAGAGGGUGACCGGCCACAUUGGGACUGAGAUACGGCCCAGACGGCUACGGGAGGCAGCAGUGGGGAAUAUUGCACAAAGGGCGGAAGCCGGAUGCAGCAACGCCGCGUGCGGGAUGACGGCCUUCGGGUUGUAAACCGCUUUCGCCUGUGACGAAGCGUGAGUGACGGUAAUGGGUAAAGAAGCACCGGCGAACUACGU